CCUACGGGAGGCAGCAGUGAGGAAUAUUGGUCAAUGGACGAGAGUCUGAACCAGCCAAGUAGCGUGAAGGAUGACUGCCCUAUGGGUUGUAAACUUCUUUUAUAUGGGAAUAAAACGUUCCACGUGUGGGAUUUUGUAUGUACCAUAUGAAUAAGGAUCGGCUAACUCCGUGCCAGCAGCCGCGGUAAUACGGAGGAUCCGAGCGUUAUCCGGAUUUAUUGGGUUUAAAGGGAGCGUAGGUGGAUUGUUAAGUCAGGUGUGAAAGUUUGCGGCUCAACCGUAAAAUUGCAGUUGAAACUGGCAGUCUUGAGUACAGUAGAGGUGGGCGGAAUUCGUGGUGUAGCGGUGAAAUGCUUAGAUAUCACGAAGAACUCCGAUUGCGAAGGCAGUUCACUGGACUGCAACUGACACUGAGGCUCGAAAGUGUGGGUAUCAAACAGGAUUAGAUACCCUUGUAGUC
rnacentral:rRNA from 1 species